rnacentral:rRNA from 1 species
CCUACGGGGGGCAGCAGUGGGGAAUAUUGGACAAUGGGCGAAAGCCUGAUCCAGCCAUGCCGCGUGUGUGAAGAAGGCCUUCGGGUUGUAAAGCACUUUCAGUGGGGAAGAAAGCCUUGGGGCUAAUACCCUCGAGGAAGGACAUCACCCACAGAAGAAGCACCGGCUAACUCCGUGCCAGCAGCCGCGGUAAUACGGAGGGUGCGAGCGUUAAUCGGAAUUACUGGGCGUAAAGCGCGCGUAGGCGGUCUGAUAAGCCGGUUGUGAAAGCCCCGGGCUCAACCUGGGAACGGCAUCCGGAACUGUCAGGCUAGAGUGCAGGAGAGGAAGGUAGCAGUCCCGGUGUAGCGGUGAAAUGCGUAGAGAUCGGGAGGAAUACCAGUGGCGAAGGCGGCCUUCUGGACUGACACUGACGCUGAGGUGCGAAAGCGUGGGUAGCAAACAGGAUUAGAUACCCGGGUAGUC